GCCAUCUUAGCUCAGCUGGUAGAGCAAUUCAUUCGUAAUGAAUAGGUCGCCGGUUCAAUUCCGGCAGAUGGCUCCA
rnacentral:tRNA from 1 species